AUUUUUCAUGAUUCUUUAAGAAUAGUACCGAUUAUUUUCACUAGAGGCGCUACGUGUAUCAAAGAUAUCUAAAUAUGAAAAUUGAAGUCUUAUUUUCGUCAUUCAAGAUGAAUUGCUUGGACUAAGAUGUAAAUCUUGAUUAAUUAACCUUCCAAAUAAUCAUUUCAAACGCAAAAAGUGCCAACGGUUUGCGAAGACGAGGUCGCCAAACCUACACACGUUACCAAACCUUGGAGCU
rnacentral:misc_RNA from 1 species